AGUCAGAGGCCAGUGCUGCCUUGUGAUAGGAAGAAAGAUGUCCCUGAAAUUCUUGAUAUUGAUCUUUUGGAUUCAACUGGCAUGGAAAAGCACCCAGCAGCUGGAGCAGAGUCCUCGGUUUGUAAGCAUCCAGGAGGGAGAAGAUGUCACUGUGUACUGUAAAUCCUCAAGCGUUUUUUCCACCUUUCAAUGGUACAGACAGGAGCCGGGAAAAGGUCCUGUCCUCUUAAUGAUAUUAACUAAGGGUGGAGACGUGAAAGUGCAGAAGAGACUAACAGCUCGGCUUGGUGAAGCUAGAAAGGACAGCUCCCUGCUCAUCACUGCAGCCCAGCCUGGGGAUGUGGGCACCUACCUCUGUGCAGGGGACACAGUGCUUUGGGGACACCUGCUGCCUUCACACAAACCCUCUGCUGCAGGCCCCAGUCACACUGCUGUGGCAUUCCUCCAGAUCUUCCUCACAUCCUUCUUGGCAGGAACAAUGAUAAUGACCUCACCCCUUCACAGAACCACAUCUGCUGCCUUUCCAGAACAUUUCCCACAAGCACUGGAGGAAAAGAUUCCUCUGCUCUAAGACACACUUUGGAAAU